rnacentral:lncRNA from 1 species
CCUGAAAACGUGACAUAUAUCUUCCUUCUGGUGGAGGAGGAAUGCCGAGCCUCUUUAGCUCAUCAAAUGGAAUUGGACGCCUGGUGAUGCAAGAGAAUGAACAAAGUCAGAAAUAUGUACAUAAAAAUAAUGUACUGAAAAUUUCCACCAUAUAGUUACAAAGUGAAAUGAACUUUUUAAUUCAUUUUUUUUCCAAAAACAAUACUAUUCCUGGCUAAACUCCUAUUGCCUUGUACGAGUAGCAGUUGUCAGUUGUGCUAGCCUGACAAAUAAGCACAGCCAAAAGAUGAACAGCCUAAGGAACUAUAAUAGAGAGUGUGCCUUUCAGUCAAUACAAUAUGAUUCAAAGGGAUUCUUGGGUGGAGCCACAAAGAAACAAUAUCUUUCAGUUCUCAAGGCAGCUCCUAAGUAAUUGAUGGGAAAGUUACCUUGUUUCAAACAUUUGUGUAACAGUUUUACACGGUAGGAUAAGUUCAGAUAUAGCAAUGCACAAAAAGAUUGCACAAAAAGAUUACAUCUCCCUCCAUUUCUUGCCAAGUAUACAUACCUAAAUCAAAUUCGUACACUAUACUACAUCCAAGCCAAACACAAAGAAAAUGAAUUUCCCAGAUAAUUGCUGUCGAAGGGUAAUUGUGUGUCAAAUAUGAUGGAAGAAAAGACAAAGCUUUCUACGUAAAAGUGAGAAUAUGAGAUCAGCUGCUUUAAGUGUCUAAAUAAUGCACCUGGAUGGCUUUCCGGAAAGAGAGGAAUGAAAUAGUUCCUUGACAAAAUAGAUUUGUAACUUAUUGAAAUAUUACAAAAAAUGAGUACGGUCUGUCCACACAAGGUAUCAUUCCAUCAGUCCAUCAAAAGUUAGAUGAUUCCAAUUAUUUUCCUGUUCCAGCCAGUAGCUCCACUUAAGCUUUCUUCUUCCCCACCCACUCACACACCCACUAAACACCAAAAGCAAACAAAAAAGAACAAUAAAACUA